rnacentral:rRNA from 1 species
UCUACGGCGGCUGCAGUGGGGAAUAUUGGACAAUGGGCGAAAGCCUGAUCCAGCCAUGCCGCGUGUGUGAAGAAGGCCUUCGGGUUGUAAAGCACUUUCAGUGGGGAAGAAAGCCUUGGGGCUAAUACCCUCGAGGAAGGACAUCACCCACAGAAGAAGCACCGGCUAACUCCGUGCCAGCAGCCGCGGUAAUACGGAGGGUGCGAGCGUUAAUCGGAAUUACUGGGCGUAAAGCGCGCGUAGGCGGUCUGAUAAGCCGGUUGUGAAAGCCCCGGGCUCAACCUGGGAACGGCAUCCGGAAAUGUCAGGCGAGAGGGCAGGAGAGGAAGGUAGAAUCCCGGGUGUAGCGGUGAAAUGCGUAGAGAUCGGGAGGAAUACCAGUGGCGAAGGCGGCCUUCUGGACUGACACUGACGCUGAGGUGCGAAAGCGUGGGUAGCAAACAGGAUUAGAUACCCCAGUAGUC